rnacentral:rRNA from 1 species
UGGGGAAUUUUACACAAUGGGGGAAACCCUGAUGUAGCAACGCCGCGUGGAGGAUGACGGAUCUAGGUCUGUAAACUCCUUUUAUAAGGGAAGAAAUUUGACGGUACCUUAUGAAUAAGCACCGGCUAACUCCGUGCCAGCAGCCGCGGUAAUACGGGGGGUGCAAGCGUUACUCGGAACCACUGGGCGUAAAGGGAGCGUAGGCGUUUUAUUAAGUCUUGAGUGAAAGCUCGCAGCUCAACUGCGGAACUGCUCAGGAAACUGAUAGAAUUGAGUAUGGAAGAGGUAGGUGGAAUUUCCGGUGUAGGGGUAAAAUCCGUAGAUAUCGGAAGGAAUACCAGAAGCGAAGGCGACCUACUGGGACAUUACUGACGCUGAGGCUCGAAAGCGUGGGGAGCAAACA